rnacentral:rRNA from 1 species
CCUACGGGAGGCAGCAGUGAGGAAUAUUGGUCAAUGGCCGAGAGGCUGAACCAGCCAAGUCGCGUGAGGGAAGACGGCCCUACGGGUUGUAAACCUCUUUUGGCGGGGAGCAAAGCGAGUCACGUGUGACCCAUUGAGAGUCCCCGAAGAAAAAGCAUCGGCUAACUCCGGCCCAGCACCCGCGGUAAAACGGAGGAUCCGGGCGUUUGCCGGAUUGAUUGGGUUUAAAGGGGGCGUAGGUGGAUUGUUAAGUCAGUGGUGAAAGUUUGCGGAUCAACCGUAAAAUUGCAGUUGAAACUGGCAGUCUUGAGUACAGUAGAGGUGGGCGGAAUGCGUGGUGUAGCGGUGAAAUGCUUAGAUAUCACGAAGAACUCCGAUUGCGAAGGCAGCUCACUGGACUGCAACUGACACUGAGGCUCGAAAGUGUGGGUAUCAAACAGGAUUAGAUACCCCAGUAGUC